UCCUAAUACAGGGAGGUAGUGACAAGAAAUAACAAUACAGGGCCUUUCGGCUUUGUAAUUGGAAUGAGUUGAGUCUAAACCCCUUUGCGAGUAUCAAUUGGAGGGCAAGUCUGGUGCCAGCAGCCGCGGUAAUUCCAGCUCCAAUAGCGUAUAUUAAAGUUGUUGCAGUUAAAAAGCUCGUAGUUGGAUUUCUGCUAAUACUCUAUGUAAAUGCUUUUGCCUUUACAUGUUGU
rnacentral:rRNA from 1 species